UUUAGUUCAAAUAUGGCGGGUUUACACAGCAGUGUUUUUUUAGUUAUGGUUUCAGGUCAAAUAGAAAUAGCCAGAGUAAGUUACCCGAUAAAUAAUGUAGUUUAAAACAAAGGCAAUGGUUUAUACUCUGUACUUUUUGUUGUUAGUUUCCUGAAUUUGACGAGCUUUAUUGCAAAUAUAAUUUUGUUUAUGGUCAGGACUGGCUUGUCACAUCGGUAAGAGAAGUUAAUACAAAAUAUAAAUGAAAAUAUUGUCAGUUUUAUAAUUCGUUGUUUGUAAACACUGGGGAAAUUGCUGGUAAUCCGUAGAACAAUAGGUUUAGUCCAGAAACUAGAUUCAUAUCAUAAUCCUUAUUCCUUAACCUUAUAAAGGGGCUGUAAAAAUAUAUGUGACGCUCUUUUUCGUCUGACUGACAGUUAAUGGCAAAAUAUACCCUCUAUCUGAAAAUAUGUGAGCUCCCCCUUGCGGGUGCAUGGGAGGAUCAACUUUAAUUUUUUCGUUAGCGGCAGCACGAUUUACAUAGUUAAUUCAGUUAGCACUAUUUUCCAUCCAGCAAACUGACCCAUUGAACUAUAAAUAAACUGGAAGGCUAACUGCUAUGAUGAAGGCCUAUGAUUUGAUGAAGCCAAAAUAGUUUUUCUGAGUUAUGAGCAGAAAUACUUGACCCCAAACGUCGGCUAUAUAUCAAAUUGAAGCUAUUGAAAAUUGCUAUUCGGUGUGGAAAUUUCAAGACUUCAGCGAAAAGAAAAAUCUUUAAAAAAUACAAAAACAACUGCAAAACGGCAAAUUAUCGGUAAUUAUGUUUGUAGUUUUUCAAUAUUUCCCUUUUAGCAAAAGUCUUGAAAUUUCUACACCAAAUAGAGUUUUUCAAUAGCUUCAAUUUGAUAUAUAGCCCAACGUUCAGUGUUGAGUAUUUCUGCUCAUAACUCAGAAAAACUAAAAUGCACUGGCUUCAAUUUCCCCCCCUGAGUUAGCCUUCCAGUUUAUUUAUAGUUCAAUGAACUGACCUGACGUCAUUUUCACAAGAUAGAAGAGGUGUUAAAUGGCUAUGUAACUAACCCAAACCCUACCCCUACUCUAACCCCUAACCUCAACCCUAGCUCUAACCCUAACUGAAUUAAUAAAAAAAUCCAAAAAGAAAUGACUUUACAAAAUCGAUAGGGCGGUUUGCUGGAUGGAAAAAAGUGCUAACCAGUUAAUUCCUCAUUUUUUAUUGAAUCUACAAGUUGUGUCAGCUAACACACUUCACGGUAUGAAAAUACAAGUUCAAAUUAUUGUUUUGCAUGGUAUAGAUUCAACAACAAAUUCUCAACUCUCUGUCAGUGACAAUAUUAUAUGGCUAUUGUUCAAGCACACCCUAACCCUCUUAUGUAUGGCCCCUAAGUUCCAUGGGUGCCUUGCAAGUUGUGGCAAAGUACCAAUGAGCUAAAUAUUACUGGAGGAACUGCUCCUAUCUUUCCGUCAGUCAAACGAGUGUCUGCAAAAACAUGGCAGAUUUUCAUGUUUGCUGACGGCAAUUGGUUCCUUUGGCUUAUGGCAAUUACCACUGACCAACUGCGAUACUACACUUGAAAUAAAAAUAUUUCACUCCCUGGUUUUUGCACAAAUUUUGAACAGUGUAUAAACUUCGAGUUUCGACUGAAAAUCUUGAUAUUUUUGUGGUCAAGGAAAAAAAAAUUUAGCGUGCCAAUAAAUUUAGCUUGCUAAAUUUUAGCUUGCCAAUUAAAGGUUGGACUGCAUGGGAAUUUAAUAUUUUAAUAAUUUAAUUAUUAUAAAACUUGCCAUUUUGAUGUAAACCUAGCUUUAGCUUUGUUUAUAAUUAUUUUAUUACUUUGUAAGCACUGAGCUAUAUAAUUAUAUUACUAUAUAGUAAUAUGAUUUUCUUUCUGUGUUGGUGUUAUGUACUUAGCCCGCGUGCAUGCAGGCCCAAGGGAACUGAUAGUGGGCCUGCAAGCAAGGCCCGGUAUUUUGUAAAACGCCCCUUUUCAUAACACGCCCCAUUCGCGCGUCAAUUGUCAAAAAAGAACCAAUGACAGCACCCAGAGACAGCACCCAAAUAUUAACAAACAAACUCGCAUUAAAAUGUUGCGGGGUUUUCUCUGCUUUUCUCUAACAUUUCCAGUUCACCUUUUAUACAAUAGUAUUCUGAUUUUCCAUUUAACAUACAAGCCUGGUCUAGGGUGCAUUUUGAUUUACGUCAGACAAAGCUACAGUUCGGUCGGACACCAAUACACUCGGGUCGGGCAAACAAUAAACCUCAGUUUCACUUUGGUCGGACAGAAUGUCCGGUGGUUUCCUCUCUACGUCGGACAAUUUCGUGAAUGGGUCGGACAAUGUCCGUGACCGACCGAUAUUUUAAGGCCUGGGCCAGGCAUAUUUUUCAAGCUUGCCCGGUGUGGAUAUACACUCAGAGUAACAUCACAAGCAUCAUAUUCACCUGAGUACAUAACACCAACACAGAAAGAAAAUCAUAUUACUAGAUCGCAUUGAUAUCGAAGGAACUAGACUCAGUUCCGAAAUAUCACAUACUCGACCUGACCACGUAGCUCAGUUGGCAGAGCAUUGGGCUGGUAUUCCAAAGGUUGUAGGUUCGAUUCCCACCGUGGGCAGGCAUAUUUUUCAAGCCUGCCCGGUGUGGAUAUACACUCGAAGUAACAUCACGAGCACUUCAUUCAAAUAGCUGUAUUACCUGUAUACAUCCGGUCCAAUCUCAGUUAGACAAGUUGAUUAGCCUCUUCAUUUGCUUAACCUGGGGCCGGUUGUAUAAAACUCUUAAUCACUUUUUUAAUUAAUCACUAUUUUGUAGUUAAAUAGUGUGAUUAACUCUCAAAUAGGCGCUUCUUAUUGGAUGACGUUUCCACUUAAUUAUAAUUAACUUUAAUCACUUUUUUAUACAACCGGCCCCUGGUGUCUCAACAAUGUUGUUAGCCGUAAAAAAAUAAAUUCCCAUUCUUUCCACAUAGGAUUGAAAUGUCUCUCGUUCGGAAUUAAACUCCCCAACAUGGCCGAUGUUCGGUUAUCAGAUUUAAUAAAUUUCCUGCCUUUCCUCAAACUUUUUCGACCGCUGCGAGGGUAUCUUACGUGUCUCUGAGCUUGAGCACGUCGAAUCCCAUCCUCGUCGCUAAAUGUAAUAUACUGAUAGCCGAAUUUGUGUGUAGAAAGACAAGCAACACAUGAACACAGCUUGCUGUCCGCCGUGAACACAGAUUUAUAUCCGCCAUGAACACAGAUUUCUAUCCGCCGUGAACGAUACGAAGCUCGACGAAGUCAUCAUGCCAGACUCUGCUAUCGACGUGGCACCCAAUUUGGGAACGAAAGCGGCCAUAAAUAUAACUAUCAACGAGACAACCGAAGAACCAUAGAGAUUAUAAAUAACACUAGAGGAGGCAACGAGGGUGAAAUUUGGGAGCGCGGUAAUGAGGGCAAAUUGAAAUCCCAGAUGAACACCACACAAUUCUUGGGUUACACUUGAAACCAGAAAAAAUUAAAAAAGAGAGUCACAAAAUUGGG